AUUUUGACCACGUCAUUGAGGCAAUCUCGAGACUGAUUAAUAGUGGGCUUAUUUGUGUGGGUUUAAUUUAUUUUCCCAUGGCCCCAAAUUUCUCACAUUUAGCAAAAACCUAAUCUUCCUCCCAACUGAUUAAUCGUCUCCGGCCUUUCCUCUCCGUCGUUGUCGUUUCACUUCUGAGUCAUUUAACAUUUUCUUUACUCUCUCUUCUUUUAUGGUUUCGUUCCAACUCCCUACGUUUCUCCUCCUAUAUAAAGUCUUUUGUAUCAACCAAAAACCUACAGCCUCACGGAAAAAGACAAAACUACUGCUGCUAAAUCCACCAGACACUCUCCCGUCUACAGCUGUGCAGCCGAGGAGGUUUCAAGCAGUGGUUCCAUGGUCGGUGCUUUAGUGGCUACCUCCGACUGGUUUACUGAUGGCAGCCAGGGUUUGCAAACAAUGACAGAGACAGAGGAAGAUGUGGAAACCUGCGGAGGAGUAGGGUUCCGAACGGAGCUCAAAGUAUUCAUAUCAGCUUCCUAAGGUAUGGAUUUUAAAGUCUGUAAUAAAUUUGAAACUUCUUGCUACGGUUCAAGGUGUUGUUGUCUACCUUAUGCAGCAGGACAACGUCAAACGUUUUCCUUCCUUUGACCAUUCUAAUUAUAGCAUAUCUUCAGGUCGAUUAAGGACUAGAUUCACUAUAUCAUUGUUUGAGAAUGAGAUCAUUAACCUAAACUUUCAGGUUUAUAAUAUGUUCAAGCUCUGAUUACUUGCAGCUCUUCUAAUUCAUUGUUUAUUCUGCUUAAAUGCAUAUGCAACAACCGGAAUCAUGUGUAUAUGUUAUGUUUUGCAUGUAUUAGCUUUCGAAAAAGACUUUGCAAGUAGAGAUGUUGAAGCUUUUGCAUCUGUUGAUAAAUUCAUCGAAACCAGUGGUGGAGAUUCUGCUGAUAACAUCAGUUGGAUUUUAUAUGGCUUUUGAUGGAGUCAAUCUUCUUGGUCAUGAUACUUAAGAAAUAUUUGAACAGCGUUGAUUGUCUUCUAUGUGUUUAGUCCUUCGCUAUUGGAAACCGUUUAGCUGGUAGCGUAACAUAUGAAAGCUUGGUGAACAUCUGGGUUGUAUUCUCAUCACUAAGCCUUCUUCGCCUAGAUCUUCGUGGUCUCAUUGUUGGUUGAUGUGCGGCUGGGAAUCUGGGAAUAUACCAUCAAUCAUAAUCCCAACUGUUUAUAAAGACAAAGGAGAGGUCUAUUUGAAGAUCCUGAGAAUUGCCACAAAUAUGGAAUGGGUUAUGUUGCACUCUCCAUGUCCGUAAGUAGUCAUCUCACUUCUUCAAAGUUUUAUCGGUGUAUAUUUUAUUUUUGGCAUCAGCCACCAGCUAUACAUAUAUCAUACAGCUAUACAAUGAAGAAAUAAUAAUUUUCAAUUUAUAUAUUUUGUUUUCAAAAAGAAUUAUAACAAUCUUAGUUGUAACAGAUGUAGCUGAGAUUUUGUAACAUACACACAAUUCCCAAAAAUCACCAAGAACCCUUAUUGUUGCACACCUGAAAGAAUAGUUGAUCACGAGUAUGUUUCAAUGAAAAUCAUAAAUCUUCUUUCUGUAAAAAGAAAUAAAAACCCUUUGAAGACUGUUUACGAAGUUGCAGUCGAGUGCUUUGGUUUGGAGAUUUGAAUUACAGAGUUUCUUUAUCCUAUUAAGAGAUGAGUAUUUCUAGAGACAAUGAUUGUGACACACUACUUGAGAAAGACCAGGUUUUGUAGUAGAAAUUAUCUUUAAAACUCAAAUCUUUAUUGAAGACCAAGAUGAGUGUUUCUCUCGAAACUCAGAUUCUCACGCCGGAGAAGCCACUAAGUCUAAAGAAAAACUAUGUACUCAUGCUUGGUUGGUACUAUCCAAAACUCUAGAAACACGUUUUUGUGGUGUGUUUGGAAUGUUUUCAGGUUUGAUCUGAUUCCAUGAGGAGGAGAAGGAAUAGAACUUUCUUAUACUCUAGGAGAAUCACGGUUUUCAGAUCACAGACCGGUUUGUGCAAAUAUUUGCAGGAGAAGUUGUUGUGAAGAGUCUGAGAAACAUAGAUAAUGUUAUUCAUGUGCGGCUGCAAGAUUGGUUGAGGAUUGCACUCCAAACUCAUAGUUUUAACUAAGAUUAUUAUAGUUCUUUUUGAGAACAAAAUAUAUGAUUUUUAAUAGUAAUUUUUCCUCAUUGUGUGUAUGGUUAAUUUUUGGCAUCAGCCGUCAUGAUACAUAUAUGUACUUCAAUGUUAUCAGAUGAGAUCUGUUUGCAUAUGAAGUUAUUGACA